CCUUCCAGGUCGUCGGAUGGGUCUGAUCUGGAAAAAAACAAUUACAAAAGUCAAUUCGUUUUAUUCAUCUUCAUACUGAUUGUGUCGUCCAUAAGUGGUAGUUAGUGUAUAAGCAAGUUCCAGGAAAUUAUUAGUUUCAUUUUAUUUUCUUAUUCCAAUGGAUGGAAAUGAUUGAUUAUUGUGUGAUUUCAUGUGCGGAUAAGGUUGCAGUUCUGUAAUGAUGGACCCGAAAUGGCAAACACAGAAUAAUAUCGCAACUUUUACUGCUGCUUCUCGUGAUUAUGCCGGACAUGCAUCCCGGGUACUGACAACAACUGAUAUUGAAAUUUUCACUUUAAAGGCAAGUUUGUUUCCCUAAGAAGCGGUCGAGUUUGUAGGUCCGCCUGGAACUGUCCCGGAGAUUAGACGAGAACUUCGCCUCUACUUUUUCAAUGGAGCUACAAAAUGAACCUGCUGACCUCACAUGGUGUGGCGAGUUGAGAAUGUCAACAACAAAUGCGUGUGACUAAAGUUCCAACUCUUGCGAAGACAGACCUAAAGAAAAACCAAAACAAAAUAAAACAAAACGAAACAAAA